GAUGAACGCUGGCGGCGUGCUUAACACAUGCAAGUCGAACGGAAAGGCCACAGCUUGCUGUGGUACUCGAGUGGCGAACGGGUGAGUAACACGUGGGUGAUCUGCCCUGUACUUCGGGAUAAGCUUGGGAAACUGGGUCUAAUACCGGAUAGGAAUCACAUGUGGGUGUGUGGUUGGAAAGCUUUUGCGGUAUGGGAUGAGCUCGCGGCCUAUCAGCUUGUUGGUGGGGUAAUGGCCUACCAAGGCGUCGACGGGUAGCCGGCCUGAGAGGGUGUACGGCCACAUUGGGACUGAGAUACGGCCCAGACUCCUACGGGAGGCAGCAGUGGGGAAUAUUGCACAAUGGUCGCGAGCCUGAUGCAGCGACGCCGCGUGGGUGAUGACGGCCUUCGGGUUGUAAACUCCUUUCGUCAGGGACGAAGCUAAAGUGACGGUACCUGGAGAAGAAGCACCGGCUAACUACGUG
rnacentral:rRNA from 1 species